rnacentral:rRNA from 1 species
AGUGUAGAUUCAGAGUUUGAUCCUGGCUCAGAUUGAACGCUGGCGGCGUGCCUAACACAUGCAAGUCGAUCGGUAACAGGUGUAGCAAUACAUGCUGACGAGAGGCGGACGGGUGAGUAACGCUUGGGAAUCUGCCUAUUAGUGGGGGACAACCCGGGGAAACUCGGGCUAAUACCGCAUACGCUCUACGGAGGAAAGCCGGGGACCGCAAGGCCUGGCGCUAAUAGAUGAGCCCAAGUCGGAUUAGCUAGUUGGUAGAGUAAUGGCCUACCAAGGCGACGAUCCGUAGCUGGUCUGAGAGGACGACCAGCCACACUGGGACUGAGACACGGCCCAG